rnacentral:rRNA from 1 species
UGAGGAAUAUUGGACAAUGGGCGCAAGCCUGAUCCAGCCAUGCCGCGUGCAGGAUGACGGUCCUAUGGAUUGUAAACUGCUUUUGUACAGGAAGAAACAGUUCUACGUGUAGAACCUUGACGGUACUGUAAGAAUAAGGAUCGGCUAACUCCGUGCCAGCAGCCGCGGUAAUACGGAGGAUCCAAGCGUUAUCCGGAAUCAUUGGGUUUAAAGGGUCCGUAGGCGGUUAGAUAAGUCAGUGGUGAAAGCCCAUCGCUCAACGGUGGAACGGCCAUUGAUACUGUCUGACUUGAAUUAUUAGGAAGUAACUAGAAUAUGUAGUGUAGCGGUGAAAUGCUUAGAGAUUACAUGGAAUACCAAUUGCGAAGGCAGGUUACUACUAAUGGAUUGACGCUGAUGGACGAAAGCGUGGGUAGCGAACAGGAUUAGAUACCCUGGUAGUCCCUGAGCGGGCUGGCAAGGCG